ACUUGAAAACUUCAAGAAUUUCUUUUACUGAUUUCCUUGAUUAAUGAUAGAACUCCGUCUAUCCCAUUAGCCGGGGGAGUCGGAUGAGUAGAAUGUGUCAUGUAUGUUCGAUCUAGAAUAAUGUAGGCUGUAGCUAAACAAAAAUCUCUUAUAAGGUUGUCCCUAAUGUAAAUAAAGGGAUCUCUAAAGUGUAGGCUCACAUUUUGAACUGCUUAGUUUCUGAUUAAUUCAAUUCAUUGAUUUCGAUUGAAUUCAUCUUUUAUUCUCAGUAACCGAAAUAAGGGUUCUUUAUCAGUGAUCCAAAUGCUCCUGAGUGAUUCGUUUGAAAGUGACCUAUUGAGGAGCUCUCAGACACCUAAACCUCACUCAGUUGUAGUUAAGGCCAAUGCGAAUCCAAGUCCAGUUGUUCAAUUAUCAACCAUAGUUUGUGAAAAUUGCUAAGGAAAUGGUGCUGUGAGUUGCUCGCAGUGCGAAGGUAAUGGGGUGAAUUUUGUUGACCACUUUGACAGACGGUUCAAGGAAGGUGGUUUAGGUUGGCUUUGCAGGACAUGCUCAUUGCUGGAACCGAACUAAUUAGGCGUCCAACAGUGAUGGAAAGAGUACAAGAGGAAGUGAGAAGAAUUCUAGGCAAUAAGAACGUGGUAUUCGAAAUUGAUCUUCUCAAACUGAACUACUUGAAAUUAGUGGUAAAAGAGACACUGCAGAUUCAUCCUCCAGGACCACUACUAGUUCCAAGGGAAACUAGAGAUGACUGCGUAAUAAACGGGUACGACAUCCCAGCCAAAACAAAUGUAUUCUUUAAUGCAAAAGCUAUUGCAAUGGACCCUAAGUUUUGGAAAGACCCUGAAGAGGUCCGACCAGAAAGAUUCAUAACUAAGAACAUAGAAUUUAAAGGGCAAGACUUUGAGAAGGUACCAUUUGGGAUUGGACGGAGGGGUUUCCCUGGUAUUGACUCUGCUUUGGUCAUAAUUGAACUUGUUCUUGCAAAUCUUCUCUACUGUUUUAACUGGGAAUUGUCCCUUGGAGUGAAAAGGAAGAAAUCGAUAUGCAAGAAGCUCUUGGUAUCGCAGUGCAAAAGAAGAUUCCACUCUUAUUGGUUGCUGCCGCUGCAAAUGUAUAUCCAAGUUCAUAAGAAGUUGGGAAGGAGCUCAUCAAAGGCGGGUUGAGUUAUGCCUAAAGAAAGACAUUUCAAGAUGCACGAGUUAAUACCCGCAAAAUUUGAAGAAGAUUUUUCUCUGUAAAAGGGCUUGGUAUCAGCCGAUCCAAACUAUUUUUAUAUAGUGGUAAUGUCUUGCUUGUAAGGUGACAACAUUCGAAGCACAUGAUCAUGCAUGGUUUCAUCCAUGUCUUGCCAUCAGAUCGCUUGUGCUUUGUUAUUUUUUCAACGUUUUUUAAAUAUUAGAAAUGACCAAAUUACA